rnacentral:lncRNA from 1 species
UCUCAAUAGAUGGGAUAGUGAGGAGGAGGAGGAGGAAGAUAGGGAGACUGAGAGAGAGACAGAGAGGGAGGAAGUUCAGUGUAGUGAGUGGGGGGACCACGAUCAUUAUAGCACAACAACUUCAUCAUCAUCUGAUCAUGAGGAGUCUAGAUCUGGGAUAGGGAUAGGGACCAGGUCGAAUAUGGGGUCGAAAAAUGGAGCUGGAAAUGGUGUUGCUGCUGAUGCUAAUGUUAAUUCUGGUGGUAAAAUGGCAUUUGAUUCGGGUGUGGAGUUGGGUCAUGCUGUGUUUCAGGGUAAAGCAGAGAAGUUUUCGACAGCUGACGGGUCGUCGACUGCUAGCUGGGGGAAUAAUGGGAAAGGGGAUAGAGAGAUUGUCUCUGAUAGGAGAAUUGCAGUGAGGCACAAGGAUUUGGCUGAGAUUGGGGCUGCAAUCAAGAUGUAUUUUGAUCAAGCUGCAGCUGCUGGUGGGCAGGUUUCUGCGAUGCUGGAAACCGAAAGAGCUCAGCUUGAUCGGAGCUUCACCAAGCUUAAAAGUGAGUUCUUUCUCUGUUGCAAUUACGGUUUUUCUUUUUUCCGAUUUGUAGAUUACUUUGAGUCAAAUUUACCAUUUGCUUCAGCUUUAUUGGAAUUGAACUUUUGUUUUGCUUUGACUUCAUCAUCUUCCGUUCCUCCAAUAUGGGUCUUCUUUUAACGUAUUACUCGUGUCCUUGGCAAAUGUGGGAUUUGCCAUUUGGAUAAUUAGACCUUCUUAUCUUCUUGCCUGAGAAAUGGAACCAUUUUGCAAUUGAUUUUAUUGGGCCUUGCAGAGACGGUUUAUCAUUCAAGUGGAGUUUUCAGUAACUUAAGCUCCAGCUGGACUUCAAAGCCACCAAUAGCUGUUAAGUACAAAUUUGAACCAGGCUCCCUCGAGGAAUCAGGAGGUUCGAAUAGCCUUUGUUCCACUUUAGAAAGACUCUUGGCUUGGGAAAAGAAACUUUACCAGGAAGUGAAGGUGCUGAUUCUUUCAAUUAUCUUUGUUAAAUUUGAGAACUGACUGGUAUUUUAAGUAGGUAUUUACUUCAGUCUGCAUUAAACUUUUUCUUGAUCUAUUUAAAGAGAGUAGGCGGUGGCUUAGGCUGGACGCAACAGUUGACAAUGGCGUAAAGUAACCCUUUUUCUGGUUGUAUUGUCAAAUGACGAAAGUGUACCGAGAAAAUUGAGAAUCCUCUGUUGGGUUAGCAUUAUGCUUUGCUUGAGUGGUACUGUUGAACUUUGUGGUUUAUGUCUAUCCAUUAGUGCUUGUGAGAAGUAUCUUUCUUGUGUAAUUACUAAAUUGUUUGGAUACAAUUGUCAGUAAAAUGACAAAUUGUAGUCAAAUACAGCCUACAAUGCACUUAGGAUGUAAAAUUUGGACCAUGCUGGUGGGGUGGGUCAGCCUGCCUAACUAACUUAACUUUAUGAAGGGGAUAGAAACUCAUUUUGCUUAUUUUAUUUUAUUUAUUUAUAUUAAUUUUAAACAGUCAGUCGAUUUCCUUUAAUUCUGAUCAUUGUCGAUAUGUAAAGGACAAAACGUGAGCUAACAUGUACAUAUUACACAACAGGGUAAAUUGUUUAUGGGUAUUAACUUUCGAAGAUUCUGUCUUUUUCAAAAGAAAAUAGUAGAUUCUAGGCCCUUUUCCAUUUUUCUUAUUGGUGGCUGUUUCUUUUGGCCCUGGAGGAAUUUUUUUUUUGGGGCCCGGGGGGGGUGUUUUCCUUCUUUCACGGGACAAGUAAACUUAAAAACCAUCUUUAAUUAAUUAUCGUAGCUUGACUUUUUUUUAAAAAAUUUUUUUCCUACGUUCAUGUUUGCUAAAACAAGCACUUGCAAAUGCUGAUUUGGUGAACAUGAAAAUAGUUUUCUUGAGUUUUUUUUUUUUUCUCAUUACUGCAUUCAGACUUAUUUUCAGCAUUUUGAAGACAUGUAUUAAUGUUGACUUGGUAAGUCAUCGAUAUUGCCCUUAGGCUAGAGAAGGUGUGAAGAUUGACCAUGAAAAGAAGUUAUCAGCGCUCCAAAGUCAAGAGUACAGAGGGGAUGAGGAAGCCAAGUUGGACAAGACCAAGGCCUCUAUCAAGAGACUGCAAUCUCUAAUUCUGGUCACAUCUCAGGCUGUGUCUACUACCUCCACAGCCAUUGUUGGUCUUAGGGACUCUGAACUUGUUCCCCAGCUCGUUGGACUCUGCCAUGGGUUAGUAUUUUCUUGUUCUGUUUAAAUCUUGGUUAGCGAUAAAGUGUGUAAAAUUGUUGGCUGUUUUUCACUAGAAUGUCACAGCUUAUUGGCUGACAGCGAGGGUUCAGUUGUUUGGCUGAGCCUCUGCAAAUUCAAUCUUUUCAAACAACCUUCAAAUAUAUCUUUUUGAAGAAUGUCUUUUGGGGUUACAACUGGCUGCUUAAGACGGCCAUAUUAAAAUUUAUUGUAGAAAUAUUGGAAAGAUGUUUCUAAAAGCCCUCAGGAUGACGCUACAUUUUCUAGAUUUUGAGCUGAAAUUGAUGUAGGUUCUCUUUCAACGUCUUGUAUUUAAGAUGCUAAAGUUCAACUAGUCUGUCCUUUGUAAAUAAUUUUCUUUGUAAAUUUUUGUUUACUUGCAGUUAAAACCAUACAAAGGUGACCACAUGAAAAAAAUUAAUGGACUCUUUGUAUGGGGGGUUGUUUUAUCUCUUUCAAACUUUUCCUCUUGCUCAUGUAAAACAUGCUAUACAUCGUACACCGCUGGCUUGUUGGAGUGGUAGGUUAUAAUAAUGAAGCUCUGGUUUUGCAUGUGCAUGAACCCAAUCUCAUCCCUCUGAGCCAGUGCAGCCAUCCAUGGGGCUAAUACAUUGAGAACUUGAUGACUUGAAUUUACUAGCUUGUUCAAUAGUAGAGUGGCCCACCAUUGUGGCCUCAACAUCAACUUGCCUCUUGUAGAUUAGAUUGACCAUGUUGAAGGACAAAAUCAAUUUCACUAAGAAGAUUGUGAUUUUGUUAUGUUAAAUUAAUGGCCAAACAAGUGUAAAAUGUGGUGGCAACUGUGUGUCAGAUUGUAAGAACUAAAAGUCCUGGCAAGCUUAAUUUUCAUCUGAAUACUAAGGUUAUUUAUCUCUUGCAUGUGAUACGUGAGAAAAUUGGGUUUUACAAUCUUGUGCUACAGAGAAAUGGUUUCCUUGUUGAUUGAUUCAGCACUCUUUUAUCAUUGAUGUGGAGCAACAUUCAUACUACUUUAGGAAUGUUUAUUUUAUAAUUUUACCAGUUGCUGAUAUUACAAUGAAACAGGUUCAUGUACAUGUGGAAAUCAAUGAACCAAUAUCAUGAGGUUCAGUAUGAUAUUGUACAGCAAGUCCAGGGCCUUGUCAACCGAACAACCCAAGGUGAAUCAACCUCUGACCUGCAUAGACAAGCAACACGGGAUCUCGAGUCUGCGGUGUCUGCGUGGCACUCUAGUUUCUGCCGCUUGAUGAAAUUCCAAAGGGAAUUCAUCCGCUCCCUCCAUGAAUGGUUCAAGCUCACUUUUCUCCCUGUCAGCAGUGAACAAACUAACGGCAACAGGGAACAUUCUGAAGUUUUUGCCUUCUGUGAUGAGUGGAAGCUCGCCCUUGACCGUAUACCUGACACGGUUGCAUCUGAAGCUGUCAAAAGUUUCAUAAACGUUGUCAAUUCAAUAUCUUUGAAACAAAGAGAGGAGCUCAAAAUCAAGGGGCGAACUGAAUCUGCAUCCAAAGAGCUCGAGAAAAAGGCAUCGUCCCUCAGGAACAUAGAAAAGAAAUAUUACAACUCGUACUCCAUGGUUGGCAUUGGCCUUCCUGAUACUGGCCCUGAUAAUUGGCAUGCUUUGGAUGCACGUGACCCUCU